UAAGGAAUAUUGCUCAAUGGGAGAAAUCCUGAAGCAGCAACGCCGCGUGGAGGAUGAAGGGUCUAUGACUUGUAAACUCCUGUAAAGAAGGAAAAAAUUCCCAUUAGAUGGGAGAUGAUGGUACUUCUGGAGUAAGCCCCGGCUAACUACGUGCCAGCAGCCGCGGUAAUACGUAGGGGGCAAGCGUUGUCCGGAUUUACUGGGUGUAAAGGGUGCUCAGGCGGAUUUGUAAGUCAGAGGUGAAAUCUUACAGCUUAACUGUGAAACUGCCUUUGAUACUGCAAGCCUAGAGUAUGGAAGAGAGUGAUGGAAUAUCUGGUGUAGCAGUGAAAUGCGUAGAUAUCAGAUAGAACACCAAUGGCGAAGGCAGUCACUUGGUCCAUUACUGACGCUAAAGCACGAAAGCGUGGGUAGCAAACG
rnacentral:rRNA from 1 species